rnacentral:tRNA from 1 species
UCCCUGGUGGCUCAGAGGGUUAAGUGACUGCCUUCAAUGCAGGAGACCUAGGUUUGAUCCCUGGGUGGGGAA